CUCUGUCGACUCCUACGGGAGGCAGCAGUGGGGAAUAUUGCACAAUGGGGGAAACCCUGAUGCAGCGUACGCAGCGUGCGGGAUGACGGCCUUCGGGUUGUAAACCGCUUUCAGCCAGGGAAGAAGCGCAAGUGACGGUACCUGCAGAAGAAGUACCGGCUAACUACGUGCCAGCAGCCGCGGUAAUACGUAGGGUACGAGCGUUGUCCGGAAUUAUUGGGCGUAAAGAGCUCGUAGGUGGUUGGUCACGUCUGCUGUGGAAACGCAACGCUUAACGUUGCGCGUGCAGUGGUACGGCUGACUAGAGUGCAGUAGGGGAGUCUGGAAUUCCUGGUGUAGCGGUGAAAUGCGCAGAUAUCAGGAGGAACACCGGUGGCGAAGGCGGGACUCUGGGCUGUAACUGACACUGACGGAGCGAAAGCAAUGGGGACGCGAACAGGAUUAGACUACCCUGGUAG
rnacentral:rRNA from 1 species